rnacentral:rRNA from 1 species
AUACGGAGGAUCCGAGCGUUAUCCGGAUUUAUUGGGUUUAAAGGGAGCGUAGGCGGACGCUUAAGUCAGUUGUGAAAGUUUGCGGCUCAACCGUAAAAUUGCAGUUGAUACUGGGUGUCUUGAGUACAGUAGAGGCAGGCGGGAUUCGUGGGGUAGCGGUGAAAUGCUUAGAUAUCACGAAGAACUCCGAUUGCGAAGGCAGCCUGCUGGACUGUAACUGACGCUGAUGCUCGAAAGUGUGGGUAUCAAACAGGAUUAGAUACCCUGGUAGUCCACACAGUAAACGAUGAAUACUCGCUGUUUGCGAUAUACAGUAAGCGGCCAAGCGAAAGCGUUAAGUAUUCCACCUGGGGAGUACGCCGGCAACGGUGAAACUCAAAGGAAUUGACGGGG